GAUGAACGCUAGCUACAGGCUUAACACAUGCAAGUCGAGGGGCAGCGCAGUGUAGCAAUACAUGGGCGGCGACCGGCGCACGGGUGCGUAACGCGUAUCCAACCUUCCCGUUACUCAGGGAUAGCCUUCCGAAAGGGGAGAUUAAUACCCUGAUGGUGUUCAAAUUCCGCAUGUUAUUUGAACUAAAGAUUCAUCGGUAACGGAUGGGGAUGCGUGACAUUAGAUAGUAGGCGGGGUAACGGCCCACCUAGUCUAUGAUGUCUAGGGGUUCUGAGAGGAAGGUCCCCCACACUGGAACUGAGACACGGUCCAGACUCCUACGGGAGGCAGCAGUGAGGAAUAUU
rnacentral:rRNA from 1 species